rnacentral:rRNA from 1 species
AUUGAACGCUGGCGGCGUGCUUAACACAUGCAAGUCGAUCGGUAACAGGUGUAGCAAUACAUGCUGACGAGAGGCGGACGGGUGAGUAAUGCUUGGGAAUCUGCCUAUUAGUGGGGGACAACCCGGGGAAACUCGGGCUAAUACCGCAUACGCUCUACGGAGGAAAGCCGGGGACCGCAAGGCCUGGCGCUAAUAGAUGAGCCCAAGUCGGAUUAGCUAGUUGGUAGGGAACGGCCUACCAAGGCGACAAUCCGUAGCUGGUCUGAGAGGACGACCAGCCACACCGGAACUGAGACACGGUCCGGACUCCUACGGGAGGCAGCAGUGGGGAAUAUUGGACAAUGGGGCAACCCUGAUCCAGCGACGCCGCGUGGGUGAAGAAGGCCUGCGGGUUGUAAAGCCCUUUCGGUGGGGAAGAAAAGUCUCGACCUAAUACGUCGGGACCUUGACGUAACCACUAAGAAGCACCGGCUAACUCUGUGCCAGCCGCCGCCGUAA